UACGAAGGGGGCUAGCGUUGUUCGGAAUCACUGGGCGUAAAGCGCACGUAGGCGGAUCUUUAAGUCAGGUGUGAAAUCCCGAGGCUCAACCUCGGAACUGCCUUUGAUACUGGGGAUCUCGAGUCCGGGAGAGGUGAGUGGAACUGCGAGUGUAGAGGUGAAAUUCGUAGAUAUUCGCAAGAACACCAGUGGCGAAGGCGGCUCACUGGCCCGGAACUGACGCUGAGGUGCGAAAGUGUGGGGAGCGAACAGG
rnacentral:rRNA from 1 species